ACGUCAGUAGUUCAAUUGGCAGAAUGGCGGAUUCCAAAUCCGUUGGUUGUAGGUUCGACUCCUACCUGGCGUC
rnacentral:tRNA from 1 species